rnacentral:rRNA from 1 species
CCCUUAGAUGUCCUGGGCUGCAUGCGCGCUACACUGAUGUGUCCAGUAAGCACCUAACCUCUUCCGAAAGGAACGGGUAACCUUUGCAAAGCACAUCGUGAUGGGGAUAGAUUAUUGCAAUUAUUAGUCUUGAACGAGGAAUUCCUAGUAAGCACAAGUCAUCAGCUUGUGUUGAUUACGUCCCUGCCCUUUGUACACACCGCCCGUCGCUCCUACCGAUUGAAUGUUCCGGUGAGCUCUUCGGACUGCGCGGUCUGCAGUUUCUGCGUUCCGUGCGGAAAGUUGCGCAAACCUUAACAUUUAGAGGAAGGAGAAGUCGUAACA